CAUUCAACUCUACACAAUUUCCCUUUCCUUGAUCCCUAUCUUUUUCUUUUUCUUUUUCUUUUCAACUCCACACAACCAUGAGAAUUUUCUUUGCUUUUCUUUUUCUAAUUUUUUUUCUAUGCUCUAUGGUUUCAAGGGUAUUUUCUUUUUUCUUGUUUCUUUUCAAAUUUUCACCCUUUCAUAAAAAUUCACUUUUCCAAGUUUCUAAUCAACUUUUCACUUUACUCUCCCCAACUUUAGAUUCCAAAACCAAAUUUAU
rnacentral:lncRNA from 1 species